UACGUAGGUGGCAAGCGUUGUCCGGAAUCACUGGGCGUAAAGCGCGCGCAGGCGGCGAUCUACGUCUGGGGGUGAAAGCCCGGAGCUCAACUCCGGGACUGCCUUGGAUACGGGAUCGCUUGAGGAUUGGAGAGGCAAGGGGAAUUCCACGUGUAGCGGUGAAAAUGCGUAGAUAUGUGGAGGAACACCUGUGGCGAAGGCGCCUUGCUGGCCAAUUUUCUGACGCUGAGGCGCGAAAGCGUGGGGGAGCAAACAGG
rnacentral:rRNA from 1 species